UAUAUAUAGACCCUUUCCUUUUCUCUGACAUUGUUGGGUUAUAUGAACAGCAUGAUUAUCUCUGGACCAUGGGGCAGUGUUCCUUGCUGGGUAUUGAAUAGUAUCUCUUAGAUGAAAAGGCUCGAGACAUAAGAAAUCAACUUACCUGAGGCCACUUGCAACAGGUUUCCCAGUCUGCAACUCACUGCCUGAACAUGAGGGAGGCAUGUCAAGAUUCUGAACUCUGAGGAUGUGGCUGGCACCCAAGCAUACCACUGACAGUCAACAACUGACUAAAAAACCGGUCCCUUUCAAUUCUUUCUCAAUUAGAGAAUACAAUAGGGAAAGAGCAUAAACUUCCAAAUCUAAUCAAAAUCACAAACAGACA